GGAUAGCUCAGUUGGCUAGAGUGCGGUACUGAUAAUGCCAGAGUUGAAGGUUCGAUACCCGUAUGGAACA